UUUCCGUAGGUGAACCUGCGGAGGGAUCAUUACUGAGUGAGGGCCUUCGGGCUCGACCUCCAACCCUUUGUGAACACAACUUGUUGCUUCGGGGGCGACCCUGCCGUCCGCGACUGAGCGCCCCCGGGGUCAAUCAAACACUGCAUUCUCUGCGUCGGAGUAUUAGUAAAUUAAACAAAACUUUCAACAACGGAUCUCUUGGUUCCAGCAUCGAUGAAGAACGCAGC
rnacentral:misc_RNA from 1 species